GGCGCAGUGGCGGAACUGGCAGACGCGCACGACUCAAAAUCGUGUGGUAGCGAUACCAUGUGGGUUCGACUCCCACCUGCGCCACCA
rnacentral:tRNA from 1 species